AAAGAUUAUACAGGGGAAAAAAGAUUACACAGGGAAAAAAAGGAAAGGAGAAACAAAGCUGUGGAGCUUAGUAGCCUACAAUGAAGGCAAUACUAUCACCGCCACCACCAAGAUCAAACAUCUUCUGCUCCCAUCAUGAGCGUUUCUUUCUCUCUGUAUAUCCCACUUGGCCGCUGCAGAAGCCACCUCGCUUAGACGCAAGAUUGGGCGCCAAUCGACCGCAGAAUCUGAAGGUGGUGUUCGUAACGAGAGCUGCUGAUUCAACUCAGCCUUCAACUACUGCCUCGCCGUCUUCUGCCAAAACUAUUGUUACUGAUGAUGAAUUCUCUCUCGCUAAGGUUUUGUACCGAAUGGAAUUUCUCUUUUAUUUCAUUUUCUGUUUUUUCGUGGCAACAUUUCUGCGCGAUUAAACUGAAUUUCAGUAGCUGCUAAAGUAUAUUAUUGGUUUAGCUUUUUCUCUAAAACUUUCUCUAUCAAAAUUGAAGAAUAAAAUGCUGGAAAACUGAUAUGGUUGCCAGUUAUCACUUACCCAUAGUGGAAGCAGUUCGUUUUCAUAUAUUUUGAGGAAUGAAAUUAGGGUAUGUGCGGAUAAAGAAUUUCAAUUUUAAAUUUUUAGUUCAAAAUAUAUGUAUAUAUUAGAACUUGUACAGGAGAAGGAAAAAUAUACGUCAAUCAAAUAUUGGAUUUUUUUUCUUUAUUUUUAUUUUUUUAUAUACUAUUGGCUUUGGACUCCAGUAAUACUGAACUAAAGCUGUUGGAUAGUGUAUUUCCAAUUAAUCCUUAAAAACAAAUUUGAUCCAUAUUUACGAGCUAUCAAACCAGCAGAAUUUAAACUAUUUUUAUGCAAUUUCAACUAAAAUAUGAAGUAUAAAUUCCUUCAUAUUUCCUCCCAUAUAAUUUCAAUCUUAUGUUAUCUAAUAUUUUCAGGUGUCAUUUGGUGUUAUUGGAAUGGGUGUUGGGAUUUCACUCUUAUCGUGAGUUCUUUUAGCUUUUGAUGGUACCUAGUAUUCUUAAAUUGGACGCUGAUUGUGCAUAAUCCGCAGGUAUGGUUUUGGGGCGUACUUUAAUGUCCUUCCAGGAUCUGAAUGGUCAGCAUUAAUGCUAACGUAUGGCUUUCCUCUUGCAAUUAUUGGUAUGGCUCUCAAGUAUGCGGAACUGAAGCCAGUACCAUGCCUGACUUAUUCUGAUGCUCAAAUGUUAAGGGAAACAAGUGCUACUCCAAUCCUUAAACAGGUAUUUCUUUAUCAUCUGGCUUUUUGUGAAUAAUUUGAUUCAGAAACUCGGUAGAUUUUGUGAACUUAGGUUAGCGCUGAACCAAUUUUGAAGUAUUAAAACAAGAGAUGAAAUGCAAAAAUUGAGAAACAUUUCCAAAAAUAGGGCCUUUUACUUUCCAAUUUCUUUUUUCUAUUUACAUCUCCUGUUAUCAUUUUCCACUACUUAUUAUUCAAUUGACUUUGUAUUUGUUUUAGGAUUAAGAAAAAUUAGAUGAAAUUUAUAUUAAUAUUUACAGACGUAAAUAGUUAAGGUAUGCAUUCAUAUAUACUAUGGUGGUAUUAUGGUGCUAAUGGUAAUAUUAUGGUGCUAAUGGUAAUGGUACUACUGGUGGUGGUGGUACAACGAUGUUAGUGGUGGCAAUGGUGAUGGCGGUUUUAUAGUGUUGGUGUGGUAGUUCCAUAGUAGCUGUGGUGAUGGUGCUGUUGGUGUGACUUGAUGGUAGUGGUAAUGUCUGCGGUCAUUGCUGUGGCAUUAUUGGUACUGAUAAUGGUAGUAUAGGAUGUAUGCCUAUGCUUAUUGACUUUCAUAAACAGAAUAACUUAUUGUAGUUUUAAUUAGGUUAGGAGUGAUGUUAUAAGAUAUCGAUAUGGAGAUGAGCAGCAUUUGGACGAGGCACUAAAACGUAUUUUUCAGUAUGGUCAGGGUGGAGGAAUUCCAAGGAGGAGUGCCCCUAUUCUACAGAUGAUUCGUGAAGAGGUAACAGAAGAUGGUAAAUACUGCCUAGUCUUGGUGUUUGAGGCAAAAGCAUUACAGUUGUCGGAUUUUGAUAAAAGACAGGAAAAAUUUGCUUCAUUCUUUGGACCAGACGUCAGAGCUGAAGUUGGGAAGGGGGAGAAUGAUCUAUAUGAAGUCCGACUAAUUUCCAACUUAAAUGGCGAUUUGUCGUCUUCAUGAAGUGAUUAAUGGUAUCAUCUGAUUCUGCUAUUUACUUUAGCUUUUGUUCAUUAAAGUAGUCUCUCGGUUAAACUUUUAUAUUCUGAUGUUUUAGAUUUAGUUUGCCGUUUAUAUUUUGCAACAUGUAAAAUUUUUGUUUCUCCAAAUAUAUAUAUAUAUAUACACGAAAGCAGGUGGGAAAGAAUGAAUGAAAUGAUGGACAAAGAUGACAGGAACAAAGCAGAAUUAUAAUUGAAAAGCAACAAGUAAUUCCAUUAACAUGAAGGUAUUCAAAGGGGAAUGGCAAAAUAGGAUUCUAUUUUAUUCUUUGUGUUUUUUACUGGCUGGCUGGCUUCAAGUAAACUUGAAAUCUAUUUUUGAAUAUGGAUUUUGCAAAAUUACCCAUUAUACCCUCUCCAAUCAUAAUAUGAGGGAAAAAAAAAGUUUAAAAUUUGAAUAUUUUAAAUUGGAUGUUUGGAUAAUUUUCGGUUUUUUUUUUUUUUUUUUUUUU
rnacentral:misc_RNA from 1 species